GACAGAGGGUGCAAACGUUGUUCGGAAUUACUGGGCGUAAAGCGCGCGUAGGCGGCAGCGUGUGUCGGGCGUGAAAUCCCACGGCUCAACCGUGGAAGUGCACUCGAAACUGCGCAGCUAGAGUCUCGGAGAGGAAGGCGGAAUGCUUGGUGUAGAGGUGAAAUUCGUAGAUAUCAAGCGGAACACCGGUGGCGAAGGCGGCCUUCUGGACGAUGACUGACGCUGAAGUGCGAAAGCGUGGGGAGCAAGCAGG
rnacentral:rRNA from 1 species